rnacentral:rRNA from 1 species
GACGAACGCUGGCGGUGUGCUUAACACAUGCAAGUCGAACGGUAAGGCCCUUUCGGGGGUACACGAGUGGCGAACGGGUGAGUAACACGUGAGUAACCUGCCCUCAUCUCUGGGAUAACAGUCGGAAACGGUUGCUAAUACUGGAUAUGAGCUUGCAAGGCAUCUUGUGGGUUGGAAAGAUUUUUUUUGGUUGGGGAUGGACUCGCGGCCUAUCAGCUUGUUGGUGAGGUAGUGGCUCACCAAGGCUUCGACGGGUAGCCGGCCUGAGAGGGCGACCGGCCACAUUGGGACUGAGAUACGGCCCAAACUCCUACGGGAGGCAGCAGUGGGGAAUAUUGCACAAUGGACGGAAGUCUGAUGCAGCAACGCCGCGUGCGGGAUGACGGCCUUCAGGUUGUAAACCGCUUUCAAUUGUGACGAAGCUUUUUUGUGACGGUAGCAGUAGAAGAAGCACCGGCUAACUACGUG